rnacentral:rRNA from 1 species
UUGAACGCUGGCGGCAUGCUUUACACCUGCAAGUCGAACGGCAGCGCGGGCUUCGGCCUGGCGGCGAGUGGCGAACGGGUGAGUAAUACAUCGGAACGUGCCCAGUAGUGGGGGAUAGCUCGGCGAAAGCCGGAUUAAUACCGCAUACGACCUGAGGGUGAAAGCGGGGGAUCUUCGGACCUCGCGCUAUUGGAGCGGUCGAUGGCAGAUUAGCUAGUUGGUGGGGUAAAGGCCUACCAAGGCGACGAUCUGUAGCUGGUCUGAGAGGACGACCAGCCACACUGGGACUGAGACACGGCCCAGACUCCUACGGGAGGCAGCAGUGGGGAAUUUUGGACAAUGGGCGAAAGCCUGAUCCAGCAAUGCCGCGUGUGUGAUGAAGGCCUUCGGGUUGUAAAGCACUUUUGGCGGGAACGAAAAGGACUGUGCCAAUACCACGGUUCGAUGACGGUACCCGCAGAAUAAGCACCGGCUAACUACGUG